rnacentral:rRNA from 1 species
AUUGAACGCUGGCGGCAGGCCUAACACAUGCAAGUCGAGCGAGCGGCGGACGGGUGAGUAAUGUAUGGGGACUGCCCGAUAGAGGGGUAUCACUACUGGAAACGGUGUCUAAUACCGCAUACUAUCGGAUAACCCAUAUGGGAUUAGCUCGUAGGUGGGGUAAAGGCUAACCUAGGCGACGAUCUCUAGCUGGUCUGAGAGGAUGAUCAGCAAAACGGGGACUGAGACACGGCCCAGACUCCUACGGAGGCAGCAGUGGGGAGUAUUGGAAAAGGGGCGCAAGCCUGAUGAAGCCAUGCCGGGUGGAUGAAGAAGGCCUUAGGGUUGUAAAGUACUUUCAGCGGGGAGGCGGUACCCGCAGAAGAAGCACCGGCUAACUCCGUGCCAGCAGCCGCGGUAAUUC